GACGAACCGUGCGAACGUUAUUCGGAAUCACUGGGCUUAAAGCGCGUGUAGGCGGGGUGGCACGUCGGUCGCUGAAAAGCCCCCGGCUCAACCGGGGAAGGGGCGCCGAUACGACCACCCUGGAGGGACGUAGGGGGACCUGGAACUUCCGGUGGAGCGGUGAAAUGCGUUGAGAUCGGAAGGAACGCCCGUGGCGAAAGCGAGGUCCUGGACGUUUACUGACGCUGAGACGCGAAAGCCAGGGG
rnacentral:rRNA from 1 species